rnacentral:rRNA from 1 species
UACGAAGGGGGCUAGCGUUGCUCGGAAUCACUGGGCGUAAAGCGCACGUAGGCGGAUCUUUAAGUCGGGGGUGAAAUCCCGGAGCUCAACUCCGGAACUGCCUUUGAUACUGGCGACCUUGAGGCCGGAAGAGGUUAGUGGAAUUCCCAGUGUAGAGGUGAAAUUCGUAGAUAUUGGGAAGAACACCAGUGGCGAAGGCGGCUAACUGGUCCGGAUCUGACGCUGAGGUGCGAAAGCGUGGGGAGCAAACAGG